rnacentral:tRNA from 1 species
ACGUUCUUAGCUCAGUUGGAUAGAGCAACGGCCUUCUAAGCCGCAGGUCAUAGGUUCAAAUCCUAUAGAACGUA